UACGAAGGGGGCGAGCGUUGUUCGGAUUUACUGGGCGUAAAGGGCGCGCAGGCGGGGCUGUUUGUCGAGUGUGAAAGCCCCGGGCUCAACCUGGGAACUGCGCUCGAAACGGCAGAACUAGAGUUCGGGAGAGGAGAGUGGAAUUCCCAGUGUAGAGGUGAAAUUCGUAGAUAUUCGCAAGAACACCAGUGGCGAAGGCGGCUCACUGGCCCGGUACUGACGCUGAGGUGCGAAAGCGUGGGGGGCAAACAGG
rnacentral:rRNA from 1 species